rnacentral:lncRNA from 1 species
AGACAUACGGAUGCGACAGACCCUCGCUCCAGCUCUGUGACUUGACUUCUCAGUACCUCCCUCGAGGGUGGAGAGGAUCUGGGAUAAUGCAGGCAAAAUGUGGACUCGUGUCCACUCCUCCCUGGUCAUCGGUUGUUCCCCGGGGGCACCUGGGGUCCUGAAGGGGGGGGGGUGCCAUGGCCAAGCCGCAUUAGCCAGGACGAGGGUGGUCACAGGCUGGCUCAAAUGACAAGGACAUCUUGGCUCGCUAAACUGGAAGGUCCUGAGGUGCCUGAGGCUUUAGCACAGUGGGACCCCGGGGUGAUGGCCCGCGUGGGCACGGCGGGAGUGCUCGGUCUGACCCGGGCAGAGAGCUGUGAAAUGGACUGGAUUCGGGUCACCGGCUUGCCCUCCAGACUUGCAGGGGCCUCCAUGGUGCUGUCUCUGGCUGGAAUGAUUUCCACUGCAGGUCCCGCCCUCUGCUGGCCCACUCAGGGACCCGACGGUCAGCGCACAGGUGCUUCUGGAUCCCCCGGGAGGCGGCGGCGCCUGGCGUUCUGCCCAUGAUCUGUUUGGUGGAAAUCGCCUCUGAAGCCCUGGGAUCCACAGGGAGGGGUGACAGGUGAGGGUCAAGGCUGUGCCUUGUCUUGAGCGUCCUCCUUGCAGCCGCGUCCUCCUUGCAGCCGCGCUCUUGCUUCCAGGGUUCUGUGAGCUCCUCCCUGAGUGGCCUCAAGCUGCCUGCAUGGAGGGCACCCCGGCACCGCAGCUGUAGCCCCUGCACCAGCCCCGCGACCCUGGACAAGUUGACCCACCACUCUGAGCCUUGGCCUCCGCCACUGUAAAAUGAGAUGGACGUCCAGGUACCGACACAGACACGUGCACAGAUGGCCGUGUGGGUGUUCUCCAUGAGUGUAUUCUAAACAGCCAGCAUCCAAUCCAUGGACAAACCGUGUGCACACACGCGAUGCCCUGCUGAUGCAAACGGAUGGCUCUCCAAACCUGCCACGGGCGGAGAAAGAUGGCUACCUGCAGUUCCAAGCCGCAUCCUAUCAUCUUGGCAGCUCCCGCAGGAAGAGUGUCUUCUUCACCCACAGCUGCUACAGAGUCUCCAAGUCUGUGUUCGUGACUGGGUCACAUCCUGAGUCUAAAGCCACAGGGUGGGGUCGGCCCCACCUGAACCCCAGGCGUGCGGGCUAUGGGAGACGUGGCUCCCCGCGGGAGAGAUGGUAUUGUCUGCAAAGCGAGCCAAGAAAGCCAUCCGAGGGCCGGCACUUCUCAGAGAUCGGAAGAGACCGCUUGGCCGAGGCCAGGGGACUAGGGGACCUGUUAUUCCUCCAUUUGGUCUGCUGCUUGGGUGGAUUCCUUCCGGAAAAGGUGGUUGUUGGAUGUCGGCAGGGAGUUGGGGCCCUGCUCUUUCAGGCAUCUGUGGCUGUGUCACCAACUAUCCCAACACUCAGCUUAAAAGCUAAUUUUUUCACUCCUCUGUUGGUUGCUAUGUGGUUGUGUGUCGUCUGGUGUUGGCUGGAGUCUUGGGGCAGGAAGGCCUGCCCUGGCCUCACUGAAGUGCACUAG